rnacentral:misc_RNA from 1 species
GAUGAAGAACGCAGCGAAAUGCGAUAAGUAAUGUGAAUUGCAGAAUCCAGUGAAUCAUCGAAUCUUUGAACGCACAUUGCGCCCGCCAGCAUUCUCGCGGGCAUGCCUGUUCGAGCGUCAUUUCAACCCUCGACCUCCCCUUGGGGAGGUCGGCGUUGGGGACCGGCAGCACACCGCCGGCCCUGAAAUGGAGUGGCGGCCCGUCCGCGGCGACCUCUGCGCAGUAAUACAGCUCGCACCGGGACCCCGACGCGGCCACGCCGUAAAACACCCAACUUCUGAACGUUGACCUCGAAUCAGGUAGGACUACCCGCUGAACUUAAGCAUAUCAAUAAGCGGAGGA